CUGCAUACUUCCGCUUCGCCAUCUUUUACUUCGGGAAAUCGUGUGCCGUUUCGUGUCCUGUUUCUAUCGCGUAGUUUUUACGGACUACUGACUUGGUUCUUGUACGAGCCGCAAAAUGCCGGGUUUUAGCAGCGUUGGCACAUUUAAAAUCUUCAUUGGUAAUUUAGCCGAUAAGACCUCGAACGCAGACAUAAAGCCAUUGUUCGAGAAGUAUGGAAAAGUAGUGGAAUGCGAUGUGGUAAAGAAUUAUGGCUUCGUGCAUAUGGAAAAUGAAGAAGCUGGUCGAAAUGCGAUACAAAAUCUGAAUGGACACAUGGUUCAUGGUCAGCCGAUAAAAUGUGAAGCUGCAAAGAGUCGCAAGGGACCCAACACUCCCACGACGAAGAUCUUUGUGGGCAAUCUUACAGAUAACACUAAGGCGCCGCAGGUUCGCGAACUGUUUGCUAAGUACGGCACUGUUGUUGAGUGCGAUAUCGUAAGAAACUACGGUUUCGUUCAUCUGGAGGCAACUGGCGACGUGAACGAUGCCAUCAAGGAGCUGAAUGGUCAGAUCGUGGAUGGACAACCGAUGAAGGUCCAGAUAUCUACUAGUCGAGUACGACAGAGGCCAGGCAUGGGGGAUCCGGAACAAUGCUACCGAUGCGGACGAGGCGGUCACUGGUCGAAGGAAUGUCCCAAGGGAGGGAUGGGAGGUGGACCAGAUAGGAAUGGAUACAGGGACCGAAUGUUUGGACGCGAUCCUUAUCCUCCACCGCCGCCACCACCGUUCCUACGGGACCGGCUCAUGGGUGGUGGCCGCUUUGGGGAUUACGAAAGCUACUACGACAGGCGCGGCUUCGAGGACACCAGGGACCUCUACGAGAGGCGGUUUACGGGUAUGACAGGGCCCAGUGACAUGGGUUCUACCAUGUGCGGGCUAGACUUUCCACCAAUGACAAUGCCACCUCUACCACCAAGACGAGACCCAAUGCCUCCUAUGCCUCCUCUAGGUAUGGGAUCCAUGCGUGACACUGGCUUCUCCCGUGGUAACGAGUAUGGAAUGUUCAGCCGCCGAUCACCCCCUCCAAGUGGCAACAACGGCCGGUUCAGUCAAACUUGCAGACUCGGAGGUUGAGCAGGUCUACAAAAUCGGACUUUGCUGAAGAUCGCUUUUCCAUCCUACCAACGGCAAGACACGGAGGUGACCGGCCACGAUCUGUAGCUUAUACGCAGUCACUUCUCCUUCCCCUCAAAGUUACUUUAAAAGACAUCGUGCAGAAUCCUCGGAGAUAACCGAGCGAAUCUCUCUCAGAGUGACUUUGGAACACGAAUGUGUAGAACCAGGCACGCUACUCGAUCAUCUCUCCAUAUUGAGAUGCGGACGUGAUAGCCCUCUACGCCGGCAUCAUCUACGAAGGAUGUACCCUUGAAGGAGCGAGCGUGCCAGGCUCGAGAGACGAGAGGGUUUCAAGUAGAAGCGACGCGAGAGGUCUGGUGGAGGAGCGACAUGGUGUAGCGAGAGGUAAUUGUUCAUCACAGCACUCUAUAACUACAUCGAAAGAGAGCGGGGGAGAGUGCGAAUGGGAGAUGUAUACUGUAAUAGAGACGCGGGAUUGCGCUACCGCAUUCAAGACGCGGGUCCAGCCUCUCAAUAUUGUUCUGAUACGCGUAAGAAAAAUGAAUAAAAGUAAUAUAAAGAAAAGAAAAAAAA
rnacentral:misc_RNA from 1 species